rnacentral:rRNA from 4 species
GAAAUGCGAUACGUAAUGCGAAUUGCAGGACCUCGUGAAUCAUCAAAAUUUUGAACGCACAUUGCGCUUUUGGGUAAUGCCCAAGAGCAUGCUUAUCUGAGUGUCCCUAAACCCCACUCAGCCACUGCUGCAGGUAAAAAUGCCGCAGUGAGCUGGACUAUGAUGGUGCGCGGCUCUGCCGUGCUCCAUUCAAAUCCAUUGGUUUGUUGUUAUUCCUAGUUGAGUACUAAGCAGACGCGACAAAAGAUUCGGUAGAUGCACUGACGUGUGUUUCUUAUCUUGAGUUGCGGAAGCCGAAUCAAGACUUGGGAAUUUCAUCAAAUUGGUUCUUCGGGUCUAACAAACCCGGCAGUUCCGCAAUGAAUGUAACCUAUCUAUGGAUCUCAGAUUAAGUAAGACUACCCGCUGAAUUUAAGCAUAUAAUUAAGCGGAGGAAAAGAAACUAACAAGGAUUCCCCU